rnacentral:ncRNA from 1 species
CUUGCGGGACGACCCGUAAGCGCCUCUUUCACCGGGGACGGCCCC